rnacentral:lncRNA from 1 species
CUAAACCACAGCAACUGCCUAUGCCUCUAUGGCAUCCAUCAUCCUUGAUCAUCCUGAAUACCAGCAACUUAUGAAAUAAAUACAAAACAUGGCAUUGAAUUCCUACAUUAGCUUCAUACUUUAUUACAAUAACUCAAGUGUGCUGGUAAAAACAUAUCACUAACUUAAAUCAGCAAUAGCCUUGAAGUUUUUCUCCUACUAAUAUGAAGACUGCCUAUCCUGCAUAGAAGCAACAGCAAGCUCAGAUCACAGACCUAACUGCUAUACCGUCCUCAAUAAUACUUGAAAAGUAUAGCAAAACCAGGUACCUGCCCCUUCUCAAAUUAAAGCUGUUGCUUCUUUAAUACUCCGGCAAUAACAGUUAGUGGCCACAAAGGAAGAUACCCAAGAAUCAGCCCCUCAAGGUCACUUGAUGAGCAUCAAAGUUCAUGGACAAAAGCAUGGCUAGGUAAAACCAUAUCAAUAAUUGCAAUGAAGUAGCAGCCUACCACACCAAUUCAGGACUGUCAAACAACUGGACGUGGGACAAAUUUACCCAUAGACAGCAGUAUCUCACAGCCUGAACUAGUUGAAGGAUCAAUAUGGUGGCUACAAAUU